UGUCAUUACAACCGUAAGUCUGAUUAUACAGAAACCAAUCCCUAGAAGCAUGAUGUCAGAGGAACAAGUCGUGAAAGGCAGGACUGGCUGAGCUGGGGUCAGGCAUGGGAGGAAAGGCAGGACGGGCUGAGCUGGGGUCAGGUAUGGGAGGAAAGGCAGGACUGGCUGAGCUGGGGUCAGGUAUGGGAGGAAAGGCAGGACUGGCUGAGCUGGGGUCAGGUAUGGGAGGAAAGGCAGGACUGGCUGAGCUGGGGUCAGGUAUGGGAGGAAAGGCAGGACUGGCUGAGCUGGGGUCAGGUAUGGGAGGAAAUGCAGGACUGGCUGAGCUGGGGUCAGGUAUGGGAGGAAAUGCAGGACUGGCUGAGCUGGGGUCAGGUAUGGGAGGAAAUGCAGGACUGGCUGAGCUGGGGUCAGGUAUGGGAGGAAAUGCAGGACUGGCUGAGCUGGGGUCAGGCAUGGGAGUGAGGAUUGUGCCACUUCUCAGCUAAGAAACUGGAAUUCCAGAUACAAGGCGGCAGCAAUGCCAGUUGAAAUGCAGCCUAUUUGGUCUUGAGGCGAG